rnacentral:tRNA from 1 species
CCAUGGCACAGUGGUAGAACAUUUGCUUUGCAUGCAGAAGGUCACAGGUUCGAUCCUUGGCAUACUCCACUGAAAGG